GAGACCAUAGCUCAAUCGGCAGAGCACCUGAUUGUGGAUCAGGAGGUCGCGGGUUCGAGCCCCGCUGGUCUCC
rnacentral:tRNA from 1 species